UUUCAAUUACAGAUUUAUGGCAGAAUUUUUCAUAGGCCUGAAUUGUCUGUUUAAUAUUAAAAUGAUUUUUGUAGGGAGCCAUCUGUUAUAUGAUCAGGCAUGGAAAUUCUUUACAGGGCUUUCCAUCAGCACUCCUCCAGUGUUUGUCAUGCUUCAAAUAUCCCCAGGCACUUGUGUUUCCAUUUAGAGGAGCAAGGUAAAGGACUCAGAGGCAGGACAUGAUGUCUCCUCGAUUGUUCAGCAGCUGUUACUGAAAACACUGUGUUCGGCAUAUGUUUUUUCCCCAACCUAAGCUCAAUGUUUUCCUUUACUAUGACAAAACAAUAUCCUGAGAAAAAGGACAGUUUAUUAAUCUUUGAAUCUCGUAUCAGAACAAACUUUGCUCAUUGCACUAAUCAACUCACGUUUUUCUUCAAAGCUGUUUUAUCCUCUAAAAAUGGUAAAACUUCGGCUCAUUUUCCCCAUGAGUACUAUUCCCCUGAGUGCAAUUUCAUCGGAGCUAACUCUAUUUUACCAAGUAGAUUUCAUCUCAAGUGCUCCCUUUGAAUCACUGGGCUGGGAGCUGCCUGAAAAAGAAUGUGGGAAGGAUUUCGAGGGUGAGCUCAGGGUCAGUGGAGAGUACUACAAUUGAUUACUUAUGUCUGCUUUGGGUGUAGAAGUAGUGAGCAUGAGACACAUGUGCCCUUUAUUUGCUGUCUCUGGCCUUUACAGUUUCUAUGUCCCUCAAUUACUGUGCUCAUUAAUAAGCAUUGUGAAAUGGCUGGCCUUGAGGCAAACAUACACAAAAAAAAUCAACCUCUCUAUCUGGGAAACAAGCUUGACCCUGACAUCACAAUAACGUUAACAACAACAAUAAUAGCAGCUACAUUUGUUGAACAUUUGCUGUAAGCCCCACUGUAGGUAAUUUACUAACAUUAAAUCAUUUCAUUUAUUCCCCACAAACUACCACAAUAUACAUAUUAUUCACCCAGAUUUUUGACUAAGUCUCAAAAAAUGAAGUAACUUUACUGAGUUCACCCUUUUGCUCAACACAUCCGCACAAAUUCGUAUUGUUCUGGAUACCUAGAACCAUCACUCCCUUCCAUAACCACUCAGUCAUUUUCCUCCUUACAUUCAAAUCCUAGCAGUCUCUCCCUCUAUACAUAGCUCCUCAUCCUGGAAGACUCCUUGAUAAAGCAGAGAGAAAGACUAGCUUCAGAUCAGCUAAGUUGGACAUUCUCUGAGCCAUGACGCGCUCUUCUCUGUAGCUAUAUUAUUUCACAUGACCCAUUCUUAAUAAUUCAGCCUAACCAUCUGUUUGUUCAAUUCCAUUUAAGAAUUUUUCUUUGUAAUGGUUUUGUCAAUUGUCUGCAUUUUGAAUUUAAUUAAAUUGUUAUAUAUCUCAAUUAGGUAGUCAAUUCAAAACACUUAGUGGAUCCAAUCUGAGCUUUUCAAUAGCUGGUCAAAAUAAAUAAUCAAUGCCAUUCACCUAAUGGUCCUUCCAUGAAAAUUAGCUGUGACCUUAGUGGUAAAAAUAUGGUAAAAUGAUUUAUGGUCAUAUCCCUCUAUAUAAGAGAGAAGCAGACAAUCAUAAUUUUUAAGAGGUGUCUGUGUCCAGUUCCCUGGUGUAGUUCUUAAUGCCAAGAGAGCCAAAAGCCCCCUGUUGAUCACUGGCUUUAAAAUUCUCCAUUAUAGGUGUGAGUUAGCCAAUCGUAUCGUCCCAUCUCAUUUGCCUGGUGAUGUAUAGACUUGACUUUAGUUCCCAUUUACACCUUGCAGAAACCAAUAAUAGUUCUCUUCCUCUUGAAAAAAAAUAAACAGAAAUAUCAAAAGGAAAUACCUUUAUAGGGUGGAGACAGGACUGGAUGAGUUGUGUAUCACUGUUUACAUCCAAAUCAAAUAACGGGAAAGAAAACAAUUAGUCAAGUUCAUACUCUAGGUUCUGUUUAAUGUGUCUGUUUUCAAGCCUGUUCAAGCUAUUUUGCCUGAGCAAAGCUUUUGUUUGCCUUCUUAAGGUUUACUUUGCUUUGAGACCUUAGCGCAUGAACUGGUUUGGCAAACUUGUCUCUCUGAGGCAAAACUUGAAAAGCGAGACAUUCAAACACUUGUAAAAUGUAGAUUUUUGCUUUUACUAAAGUCCAUUCCAGGUCUAAUCUAGGUUCACUCUCUUUUACCCAACAGUUCCCUGGGCAGAAAUGUGAUCCUAGCCCAUUCACAAUCUGACUCUUCCGUUUCCCAGGAUGCACAUUAUCUAAUGUUUGAGCUUCAAUGCUGAUUUACCAUUACCAGAACUCUUGCUGCUGCUCGCUCUUUGGGUCCACGCUGCCUUUAGGAGCUGUAACACUCACGGCGAAGGUCCGCAGCUUCACUCCUGAGCCAGCGAGACCACGAGCCCACCGGGAGGAAAGAACAACUCCAGACGCGCCGCCUUAAGAGCUGUAACACUCACCGUGAAGGUCCGCAGCUUCACUCCUGAGCCGGCGAGACCACGAACCCACCAGAAGGAAGAAACUCCAAAGACGUUCAAACAUCAGAAGGAACAAACUCCGGACACGCCACCUUUAAGAACUGUAACACUCACCGCGAGGGUCCAUGGCUUCAUUCUUGAAGUCAGUGAGAUCAAGAACACACCAAUUCUGGACCCAGUAUCUCCCCAUACCCUAACUCCUUUCCCAAAGUAGGCAGAAAAACAGCCCUGUUGUUCCGGUGGAAGCCUUAGCUCUGUAUUCCUUUUAGACUGUAUUUCAAAACGCAUUAUUAGAGCCCCAAAGUCACCUGGUGAAAGAAUGUGAGAGCUGGAAGUGGCCUCAAAAUCCAGUUGAACCCUCUUAUUUCAUAUGUUUGGAAACUGAGCACUAGAAAAGUAUGUGGUUUUCCCCUCUUGGUCCAAGAUGACUGCUGGAGCUCCUGCCUACUCCAGGAUGGCAGGAAGAAGGAAGGAAAGAAAAAGGCACACCUCUCCACUUUUAAGUAGCUUUGCUAGAACUCUCACAAAACACUUGUAUUACAUCUCAUCAGACUAUAAAUUCAAAGAAGACCAGGAAAUGUAGCUAUUAUCUGGACAACACUGGCCCAGCUAAAACUCAGAUUUCUGUUCCUACUGGAGAAGAAAAGACUAGAUAUUGGGAGGUAACUGGAAGUUUCUCCUGAGCAGGAUUUAGGUAUUAUACAAAACAACACGUUACUCUCUUGAUAUCUGUUUCCCUCAAUAUUUUAAAGCAAAUCUACUUAAAGCAGAGACCAAGUUUUUAUAGUGAAUGGUAAGGGGGAAGUUUUGAGUGGAAUUUUACCAUGAAAAAUGAUACUAAAAUUGUGAAAGCAUAUUUUAUUUUAUAUUUAAUGUAAUUUAGGUUAUAAUAUCCAUUAUUUAUUAGGGUUUUUUUGCCAAGAAUGAGUUAAGUGCUGAUUAUUUAAUUUAAUGACAUUGAAAUGAGAAUAUAAUAUGAUUUAAUAAUAGGACAUUCUUUGUUUCUUUUUGUCUUUGGCUACGUGAUCAUGGGGAGGAUAUUUGAAAAUGUGCAUCACUUUUACUAAGAGCUUCUCUUAGGCCUUUGGUAUCCACAUCAUUCUCUUAAAUACCUGAUCCUAGCAUCAAAAUUCCAGAUGUUUCACUUCAAAAUUUUCACUGGUCUACUUCUG
rnacentral:lncRNA from 1 species